UACGUAGGGUGCAAGCGUUGUCCGGAAUUACUGGGCGUAAAGAGCUCGUAGGUGGUUUGUCGCGUUGUUCGUGAAAACUCACAGCUCAACUGUGGGCGUGCGGGCGAUACGGGCAGACUUGAGUACUGCAGGGGAGACUGGAAUUCCUGGUGUAGCGGUGGAAUGCGCAGAUAUCAGGAGGAACACCGGUGGCGAAGGCGGGUCUCUGGGCAGUAACUGACGCUGGAGGAGCGAAAGCCGUGGGGAGCGAACAGG
rnacentral:rRNA from 1 species